rnacentral:rRNA from 1 species
CCAAUAGCGUAUAUUAAAGUUGUUGCAGUUAAAAAGCUCGUAGUUGAAUUUCGGGAUCAAUACGUCGGUCGUGCCUUCGGUACGCACUGGCGUCGUUGAUUUCUCCCUUCUGAUGAACCACGAUGUCAUUAAUUUGGUGUUGUGGGGAGUCAGGACUGUUACUUUGAAAAAAUUAGAGUGUUUAAAGCAGGCAAACGCUUGAAUACAUUAGCAUGGAAUAAUGAAAUAGGACGUUCGAACCUAUUUUGUUGGUUUCUAGGUACAACGUAAUGAUUAAUAGGGAUAGUUGGGGGCAUUAGUAUUCAAUUGUCAGAGGUGAAAUUCUUGGAUUUAUUGAAGACUAACUACUGCGAAAGCAUUUGCCAAGGAUGUUUUCAUUAAUCAAGAACGAAAGUUAGGGGAUCGAAGACGAUCAGAUACCGUCGUAGUCUUAACCAUAAACUAUGCCGACUAGGGAUCGGAUGAAGUUAAUUUUUUAAUGACUCAUUCGGCGCCUUACG